GAACGUCUUCAGGGCGGGGUGCGAUUCCCCACCGGCGGUAUGCAUGCGCAAGCGUGCGAGCCCGCGAGCGCUUUCGCAUGCUAGUCCCGGAUUUUCAGUAUUCGGGCGCUUCAGUGCGCAAGGUCAGCAGAUCCGGUGCGAUGCCGGGGCCGACGGUAUAGUCCGGAUGAAAGAAGACGGCC
rnacentral:ncRNA from 1 species